GGGCGGUCGGGGCGGUCGGGGCAGGCGGGGGCGUCAGGGGCCGCGGCUGCCGCGGAAGUUGGUCCGAGAGUCGGCGACGGCCCCGCGCCGGGGUCGCAGGGUGCCAGCGUGUGCAGAGUUCCUCGGAGAGCCUUCUGGAUGUGCCCAACCUGCAGGCAGCCCUGGGCAGGCCCAUGUGUUGUGGUCAGCAUCUCCUCCUCAGGACCAAGCCUCCGGGACUAGCUUCCUGAGGGCCACCUCCAGGAACUUGCUUGAGGAAGAUAGCGACAGAUUUGGCUUUUCAGUGCAUUUCUGACAUUUCAGCCGUGCCACUCAAGGGAGUCAGAGUGCCAAGGACCCAUUUGUGGACUCCGGCAACGUUCUUCUCCCAACAGUGGGGGCACCUGGCAGAAGCCCCAGGCUGUCUGCCAGGCCUACCUUCCCUGCUGGGUUUCUCAAGUCCACCAUGCAGACCUGGUGGUUGUGUCCAGAGUAGCUCCAGGGCACCUCCUGCAGCGGCCUGCCCUUUCCUGGGCAGUGGGGGUUGAUGGCUGGAGCUGUGGCUGCAGUUGUCAGAGGCCUGCAGAGGUGGACUUAGUUGGGGACUUGAACGGAUUUGGACUUCCCUUUGGAGGGACCCUAUCCUAACAGUUAUUAUGGUGUGUUGUGCCACACCUAGCAGGCUACCUUGGCAGGGCCAGGUCCUGCAGGUGAUGAGGAGGCUGUGGGUGAACCCGCUGUGUUCAACCAGCUCUAGAAAGCACUUCUGUGCCUCAGGAGAAUAGGAAUUCUGAGCAUUAUUCCCAAGCACUGCUGGCCCCCACAGAGCGAUCACUUAUGCCAGUCCUGCCCAUCUGGCCUGGGGGAUGGCCUGGCCUGUCUCAGCCCUGCACUGCCUGGGCAGGACGUCUGGGGGCAGCCAGGCCAUUCCUUACCUCAGCAUGCCUCAUGUCAUUGAAACUUUAACUGUACUUUGAAAACAAAGUAAACUUUUCAACAAUGCAAA